rnacentral:rRNA from 1 species
AGGGUUUGAUUCUGGCUCAGGACGAACGCUGGCGGCGCGCCUAACACAUGCAAGUCGAACGGAGUCAAGAGGAGCUUGCUUUUCUUGACUUAGUGGCGAACGGGUGAGUAACGCGUGAGUAACCUGCCCUGGAGUGGGGGACAACAGUUGGAAACGACUGCUAAUACCGCAUAAGCCCACGGCCCGGCAUCGGGCUGAGGGAAAAGGAUUUAUUCGCUUCAGGAUGGACUCGCGUCCAAUUAGCUAGUUGGUGAGGUAACGGCCCACCAAGGCGACGAUUGGUAGCCGGACUGAGAGGUUGAACGGCCACAUUGGGACUGAGACACGGCCCAG